AAAUGGAUCUUUACAAAGUGUUCGUCAUGCAUGCGGCAUGUAUGCGUCGGAUUAUGAAUGAGCUCUGAGUCAAAAUGUCCGUUGCUCGUUAUCAACAUACAACUGAGAUCGACAAGCAGUUAAUCAGAUGUCACGGUGCAAGACUGCUCUCUACAUGCAUGAAGCUGUUGCUAAUACAGUCUGCUGUUGACUUCAAAGAGACUUCAUCAAUCCCUGUGGUCUCAUCUCCAUUCAUAAUCAGCACUACGCUUCUGUCACUCCCCUGCUGUUCUGGAAUGUCACAUGGUAUAUCUGAUACAUCAUAGAAUUAGUUUAACAUGAUACUCAAUAGGCACGAUACGCA